GACGAACGCUGGCGGCGUGCUUAACACAUGCAAGUCGAACGGAAAGGCCCCUUUGGGGGUACUCGAGUGGCGAACGGGUGAGUAACACGUGAGUAACCUGCCCUUGACUUCGGGAUAACUUCAGGAAACUGGGGCUAAUACCGGAUAGGAAUCCUUGCUGCAUGGUGGGGGUUGGAAAGCUUCGGCGGUUUUGGAUGGACUCGCGGCUUAUCAGCUUGUUGGUGGGGUAGUGGCUUACCAAGGCUUUGACGGGUAGCCGGCCUGAGAGGGCGACCGGCCACAUUGGGACUGAGAUACGGCCCAGACUCCUACGGGAGGCAGCAGUGGGGAAUAUUGCACAAUGGGCGGAAGCCUGAUGCAGCAACGCCGCGUGCUGGAUGACGGCCUUCGGGUUGUAAACCGCUUUCAGCAGGGGCGAAGCUUGUUGUGACGGUACCUGCAGAAGAAGCACCGGCUAACUACGUG
rnacentral:rRNA from 1 species